rnacentral:rRNA from 1 species
AUUGAACGCUGGCGGCAUGCCUUACACAUGCAAGUCGAACGGUAACAGGUCUUCGGAUGCUGACGAGUGGCGAACGGGUGAGUAAUACAUCGGAACGUGCCCGAUCGUGGGGGAUAACGGAGCGAAAGCUUUGCUAAUACCGCAUACGAUCUACGGAUGACAGCAGGGGACCGCAAGGCCUUGCGCGGACGGAGCGGCCGAUGGCAGAUUAGGUAGUUGGUGGGAUAAAAGCUUACCAAGCCGACGAUCUGUAGCUGGUCUGAGAGGACGACCAGCCACACUGGGACUGAGACACGGCCCAGACUCCUACGGGAGGCAGCAGUGGGGAAUUUUGGACAAUGGGCGAAAGCCUGAUCCAGCCAUGCCGCGUGCAGGAUGAAGGCCUUCGGGUUGUAAACUGCUUUUGUACGGAACGAAAAGACUCUUUCUAAUAAAGAGGGUCCAUGACGGUACCGUAAGAAUAAGCACCGGCUAACUACGUG